rnacentral:lncRNA from 10 species
AGAAGUUUUCUCCUCCUGUCCUGUAACUGGUUUUCACUCACUCAACUGAGAGAUUUCUUUGUUGCAAUGAUGGGGUCUAAGAUAACACUUCUGGAGGCUGCAGGCGAGAAACACAGCUGAUAUCAUCUUUUAUUGUGUGUUGUUAUUUGCCUAGCAUUAUAAAUUAAGGAGGAAUAGUAACAAAGAGCUUGAAGACAUGCACAGCUCACAGGCCCCGGGUGGAGGCUGGCGACAUCAGACAGACAGAACCAAGACAUCUGAGGGGCAACCAGGAGGUGCGUGUGGCUGCAGAGCACACAGUUCCUUGAAAUGUCUUGGAUGAAAAUUGGGUUCUGCACACUGGAUCUGGCUGGUUGAUUCUGCCUGCGAAGACUGAAGUUGGCUUUGAUGCCUAUAGAUGCACUCACCCUUCGCUCGGGUUCCAGAGGCCAUGUGGUGUAUGGGGAAGGCA